CGUGCCAUGCUAAACUGUGCCCGUGCUAAAAACAAGCCACACGGACAACAGGUAGAAUGUGCACGCAGAGAAAACUUCUGUUUCAAUAUCCUAGUGUUCGAAGCACUACUCUUCCUACUCUCUUGGAACUUGAAACUACA
rnacentral:snoRNA from 1 species